CGGAGGAAGCGGGGAUGACGUCAAGUCAUCAUGGCCCUUAUGGUAGGGCUUCACACGUCAUACAAUGGUCGGUACAGAGGGUUGCCAAGCCGCGAGGUGGAGCUAAUCUCUUAAAGCCGAUCGUAGUCCGGAUCGUAGUCUGCAACUCGACUACGUGAAGUCGGAAUCGCUAGUAAUCGCAGAUCAGCAUGCUGCGGUGAAUACGUUCCCGGGUCUUGUACACACCGCCCGUCACACCAUGGGAGUGGGUUUCACCAGAAGUGGGUAGCUUAACCUUUCGGGGAUGGCGCUCACCACGGUGAGAUUCAUGACU
rnacentral:rRNA from 1 species